rnacentral:rRNA from 1 species
UGAAACCGUGUGCCUACAAGCAGUCGAAGCGUGUUGCCGCGAUUCGUCGCGGUAGCGUGACGGCGUGCCUAUUGAAGAAUGAUCCGGCGAGUUAGCUGUAUGCGGCGAGGUUAAGGCCUGACGGCCGAAGCCGAAGCGAAAGCGAGUCUGAAUAGGGCGUGGACCGCAAGGUCCGUAGUCGCAUGCACUAGACCCGAAACCGAGUGAGCUACCCAUGGCCAGGUCGAAGCGGAGGUAAAACUCCGUGGAGGACCGAACUCUUCAACGUUGAAAAGUUGAGAGAUGAGCUGUGGGUAGAGGUGAAAUGCCAAACGAACUCGGAGAUAGCUGGUUCUCCUCGAAAUAGCUUUAGGGCUAGCGUCUCGCGUUCAUUCACUGAGGUAGAGCACUGAAUGGGCUAGGGGGCUUAUCGCUUACCAAACCCAAUCAAACUCCGAAUGCGGUGAAUCGAAGCGGGGCAGUCAGUCUCCGGGGGCUAAGCUCCAGAGACAAAAGGGAAACAGCCCAGACCGUCAGCUAAGGUCCCGAAAUCCAGGUUAAGUGGCAAAGGAUGUUGGAUCGCUCAGACAACCAGGAUGUUGGCUUAGAAGCAGCCAUCAUUGAAAGAGUGCGUAACAGCUCACUGGUCGAGUGGUCCAGCGCCGAAAAUCCAACGGGGCUCAAACCUGGUACCGAAGCUACGGAUCCACGAUCACUUCGGUGAUCGAGGGUGGUAGAGGAGCGUUCUCGGCGCAGUGAAGGUGGACCGUGAGGACCGCUGGAGCUCCGAGAAGUGCGAAUGCCGGAACGAGUAGCGAAAUGUGCGUGAGAAACGCACACGCCGUAUGCCUAAGGUUUCCUGAGGAAGGUUAAUCCGCUCAGGGUCAGUCGGUCCUAAGACGAGGCCGAAAGGCGUAGUCGAUGGAUGUCCGGUUUAUAUUCCGGAACCACUCAAGACCGUUAUCAACAAAGGGGUGACCCACCCUGGUAGUCCCAGCGCACUUUGGCUAUGUACGUCUAACGUCGUAACCGUCUCUGGAUAGGUAAAUCCGUCCGGAGGUCAAGGUGAAAACGGAAUGCGAGCCGCAGCAAUGUGGCAAGUGGGAUGAGCCAGAUUGGCAAGAAAAGCCUCUAGUGAGGUUGAGAGUGACCGUACCGCAAACCGACGCAGGUAGGCGGGUGGAGUACACCAAGGCGAUCGGGAGAACCCUCCUAAAGGAACUCUGCAAAAUGACCCCGUAACUUCGGGAGAAGGGGUGCAUCGCACGCUCUCGCUUUACCGUGAGAGGAAGUGAUCGAUGCCUCAGAUAAACGGGCCAAGCGACUGUUUAACAAAAACACAGGUCUCUGCGAAGGGGAAACCCUACGUAUAGGGGCUGACGCCUGCCCAGUGCCGGAAGGUCAAUGGGAGAGCUGAAAGGCUCGAACUGAAGCCCCGGUGAACGGCGGCCGUAACUAUGACUAAGACCGUUGUAGUUCCGAGAACAAAAUCUGGCCAUUUGCUGGAACACCCGUGGAUCCUCCGCUACCGCGAACGGCGGUGACAAAGCGCGAGGUGCGGACAAUCAGCAGGAAAGACCUCGAGCGAUCGAGGAAUCCUCAGAGACUAAACGCCAGACGCUGACAUCAGCGAUGAGAUAGUCCGAGCUGCACGGCGACGUGCAGAGUGGGUAACCAAUCCCACCCCUCAGCAAUGAGGCGCAACAGAUGAACGGUCCUAAGGUGGAAUCGCUGCCUUAGAGAAAUCCGACUAUGUGCUGGAACAUCCGAGGAUCCGGUGCUACUGCGAUCAGUAGUGACAAUGCAUCCGGUGCGGACAAUCAGCAGGAAAGGCCGAUCGCAGAAAUGCGAGCGGAAUCCUCAGAGACCAUACGUCGGACAUCCGCGCGUGUUUCGGAUGAAGAGAUGGUCCCUUCUGCAUGGCGACAUGCAGGAGCGCUUCGUACAAGGUGGAGCACUCACUCGAACACUUCGAGCAAGACGAACAGCGAAAUUCCUUGUCGGGUAAGCCACAAACUUGCCCCCGAGUGAAGCGAUUCAUUCGUGAAUCUCCGGCUCAUAUCGGUGAAGCCCUCACGGAUCUAGCGGAAGGUCCGCGGGUAAUACCGAGGGAAGUCCUCGUGACCCCGUAACGACUGCCUCGCACGCGAUUUGGUGUGCGAGCGGUGGCGCUCUUCACUCAAGCCGAGUGAAAUCUACGAACGCCACAAGACGCCGGCGUCUGAGCGAUCAGAUGAAGGGAUAGUCUGCGCCGCUCGAAAAGAGCGAAUCAGCGUGAAGUUCCGACCCGCACGAAAGGCGUAACGACUUGGCCGCUGUCUCUAGGAGGGACCCGGCGAAACUGAGAUACCCGUGAAGACGCGGGUUACGCACACUUGGACAAAAAGACCCCGUGGAGCUUUACUGCAUCUUGGCAUUGGACUGGGGUUACGCAUGUGUAGCAUAGGUGGGAGACUUUGAAGCCGGCGCGCUAGCGUCGGUGGAGUCAACAGUGAAAUACCACCCUUGCGUGACUUCGGCUCUAACGGCUGUCCGUGAUCCGGCAGCCGGACAUUGCCAGGUGGGCAGUUUGACUGGGGCGGUCGCCUCAAUUUUGGGGCUCUCCAGCGGUAACGCUGGAGGCACAUAUCUGGCUGUUUGCUGGGACAUCCGUCUCCUCGGUAGAGAUAGCAAUCCGUUGCCGAUCUCUACUUAAGGAGUGAAGAAUCCGGGACUACUGAGUAAAAUCAGUGAAAACGUCUCCGGUGCGGACAAUCAGCAGGGAAGUCUUCGUGACCCCUCAACGACUGUACGCCGGACAUCCUUCGGGAUGAUGAGACAGUCUGAACUUCCGAGCGAUCGGAAGCUGAGCGAUCAGCACCUAGCGCUUCACACGUAGGAGAAGAGAAGUGCGUUCUCGAACGAUCGAGGCGUACAAGACGACCCUCCGACUAACCGACGUCCAGCGAGACAUAGUCGUUGGCGUCCUUCUUGGCGAUGCGCAUCUGGAGACUCAAAACGGCGGGCGGUCCUACCGACUUAAGGUCGAGCAAGGCCACCGUCACGCGGACUACGUGCGGCACCUGUACUCGGAGCUACGAGAGUGGGUGCUCACCCCGCCGAAGCAAAAGAUGGGCAAGACCAAAGGCGUCAUCACUUUGAACCUCGCAUUUCAGACCGUGAGCCACGAAGAGCUUGCUUCAUACGGAAGCCUCUUCUACAGAGCUCGUCGCAAGGUCGUUCCGGAACAAAUCCGGGACAUCGCGACUGCUCGGACACUCGCGUACUGGUUUAUGGACGACGGCUCGAUGAAAUCGAGACAAUCGAAGGGCGUGAUCUUCAACACGCAGGCCUACGACUCAUCGGAUAUUCGACGUUUGAUUGACGUCCUCGAAGGCUUCGGACUCGAAGCGUGGGAGCGUCGACAGUCAGACGGAAUCCAGAUCUACGUUUCUGGGAGUUCGUAUGAGCAGUUCGCUGAACUGGUAGGUCCCUACGUGAUCGAAGCGAUGCGGUACAAGGUGCCGCUGACUAGGCGAACACAAUUGCCUAAAAGGUAACGGAGGCGCCCAAAGGUACCCUCAGGCUGGGUGGAAAUCAGCCUUAGAGUGCAAAGGCAUAAGGGUGCUUGACUGUGAGGCAUACACGCCGAGCAGGGACGAAAGUCGGGCUUAGUGACCUUCUGAUCUCGAGUGGAAGAGUCAGGAAUCAUCGGAUAAAAGCUACCCCGGGGAUAACAGGCUUAUCACGCCCAAGCGUUCACAGCGACGGCGUGGUUUGGCACCUCAAGUUGGGGUGACGUCGUGGAAACACGACGCACGAACCGGCUUAUAACGGUGGACUCCUCGCAUGAGGACAACACCGUGGGAAGUCUGUCGAAAGACAUGACCCCGUAACGACUGAUCCAUCUCGAACGAGAUGGUGAGAUGGCGAUCACGCUUCGGAGACGAAGACAAAUUACGGUCGCCAUCAGACGCCGGCCCCUCGCUCUUAGUCGGAGCAGGGUGGAGAGAUAGUCUGCACCGUCGGUAACGACGGAGAUUGCGCGAUGUCGGCUCGUCGCAUCCUGGGGGGGCAGUACCUCCCAAGGGUUGGGCUGUUCGCCCAUUAAAGCGGUACGCGAGCUGGGUUCAGAACGUUGUGAAACAGUUCGGUCUCUAUCCAGUGUGCGCGCAGGUGAGUUGAGAGGAGUUGCCCCCAGUACGAGAGGACCGGGGUGAGCGGACCGAUGGUGUACGAGUUGUCCUGCCAAGGGCACCGCUCGGUAGCUAUGUCCGUUCCGGAUAACCGCUGAAAGCAUCUAAGUGGGAAGCCGACCUCGAGAUGAGCUCACCCUCUGGGUAACCAGGUAAGACCGCACGUAGAUUACGUGUUUGAUAGGCGACAGGUGGAAGGAUCGCAAGAUCUGGAGCUGAGUCGUACUAACGGUCGAGGGCUUGACCUAAUUU